GAAGGGACGCCUCCUGCUGAUUCUACGGAAUCCUGAGGCUUGUCGGGAGAUCAGAACCGAUCGAGGGAGUUCUGGCUUAGUUUGACAAAGUUAGCGACAGAAGUGAGGACUUGAGGAGACUUGAGCCCAGGGAGUGGGACAAAGGGACUCCCCUGCGUGGCUACCUGUCCAUUCACAAUGGCCUCCAUUCAUAAAGAGGGCUUUGGAGGAUCUUGAAAUUCCACUUAGUGCCCUAUGGGACCACAGAACUCUGAUCUAACCACUGAAUUUUCUAGUCUAUUCGAGCUCACUGAGACUGGCUCACUGGCUGACUACCCACACUGACUCUCCUGGAGGCUUCAGCACUGGCUAGGGAGACUUUGAAGCAGGGUGGGGCUACUACAGAGCAGAUGUGCAGGAGCCAGCUCAGGGUGGCCAACUCAGAACUCAGAAGCGCUGUGCUACAGCAAAUGACUCAAUAAACAGUCUUUUAGAGAGUGGACUUAAAAUCCCUUCUGCAAAGUGACUUUGGGAGGGAGGGCAUUGGCUUAUACACCUGAUAAAUCAUUUGGGGAUCACUUUACCAGGUAUCCAGUCACAAGAAUGCGUUUUGUACUCUCUCUCUCUCUCUCUCUCUCUCUCUCUCUCUCUCUCUCUC
rnacentral:sRNA from 1 species